CAUUCGAGUAUCCGGGGGUCAUGCUCCUAUCCCGGACGAGCCCCCAAUGAAAGACCCCCAAACUUGGGGAGACUCUCGCUCCAGUCAUGGGUUGGGGUACACCCAGGAAACACGAGUAGCCAG
rnacentral:pre_miRNA from 14 species